rnacentral:rRNA from 1 species
GUCCUAGCCCUAAACGUUGAGUACUAGAUUGUAGACUUACAUGGGUUUACAGUCGAAGCAAAGUGUUUAGUACUCCGCCUGGGGAGUAUGGUCGCAAGGCUGAAACUCAAAGAAAUUGACGGGGGCUCACACAAGCGGUGGAGCAUGUGGCUUAAUUCGAGGCUACGCGAAGAACCUUAUCCUAGGCUUGACAUGUGCGAAAGCGUCUGGGGGUAGUUUCCCGGAAACGGGAGACGAAGGUAUCCAAUCCUGAACCAGAUACAGGUGCUGCAUGGCUGUCGU